rnacentral:lncRNA from 1 species
AGAGGCUUCUUCUCCCUUGAGGAACAAUGAAUUAGGGUUGAGAGGCUCUCUCCUCCAGGGGCCAGGGGGUCUGGUUUUAUAGUCCCUUCAAGUGAAUAUGGGCCGUUGGAUCAAACCGACAUAGAUUGUAUGGUUUAGAUUCAUUCUUUAGGUCGAUGGAGAUCUCCCACGAAGCAGAGUCCUGAUUGGACUCAGGAGGUGUGCGGGCGCCCUGAUCACCUUGGCGGGCGCCCAGGGUCAGGCCCCGUUUCGCCUCCGCUUCGGUCUCGUGGCUUCUGGAGUCUUCUAGAUGUAAGAUAAUUGCGCGGCACGUUAAUAUCUCUAUGUAAUCCCGACUUGUGGGCCUUUCUUCCGUAUUUCCUGAUAACCCCCUGCAGAAAUAGACAAACACCAAAACUCAUGGAAUUCUGUCAGAUAAAACCCUAAGUCU